rnacentral:lncRNA from 1 species
GGUAGGACACAAAUUGAUGGACGAACCAAAAAAGAAAUUAAGACACGAAUUGGUGGACGGAGGAAGUAGCAAAUAAAUAGAUUUCAAAAGAAAGAAUGAGUAGGUAUGCCGACUCAAAAUGGUUCGACCUGCACCUUACUUGUAAACUAAUGUUUUCAUUCAAUCUUUUGCUAGUGAACUUGCAUGAUUACAUGAGUUGUAUGAACUAUUUGUGAAACCAAUAUUGUCAUAUCAUUGAGAUUACUUGGUAGCAUAUCAACCUUGUCAUACAUGAAUAUUUACUUGAAUGGUGCAGGUCAUGAGCAUGCUGAAUUGAAUUGAAGGACUUUUGACAUAUUCAAAUCUCAAAGAAGCAUCCAUCUGCAACAAACUUAGAAAUAUUAGCAAAUAUAAGAGCACUGUAUAUGUAACAUUCAUUGGUUUAACAAAUCCAAAUAAAUAAGGAGGAAAAAAGAACACGCAAAAAUAUGAAAGCGAGAAAUACAUUAAAGAAAAUGCAACAGUAAUAGCUUAAACAUAGCAAAAGAAUAAAAUAUUGUACAUUAGGCGGAGUGAGCAAUUAACCAACCAAUAAAUGGGUAAAUUGAAAGCACAAUAGAGAAUAAACCGAAAUUAUAGUAGUGCAAGAACAAAUCUAUAUAAUAUAUAAAAGAGGAGUUUUGUCAUCUAUUUUUUCUCUCUCUUCUUCCGCCAAAUUUUUCAAUAUUUUCUCUUUUUUUUAUAAUUUUAAUUACUUUCUAAUCAUCACAUAAUUUUAUUUAUGAAAAAAAAUAUUCAAUAUGCAUCUUAAAUUUAAUUUUGUGACAAGAUUUUUAAUAUGGUAAAAAAAACAUCAAAAAUGAAUUUAAAACGAAUAAGUUAUGAAAAUUUUAAGAUAUUUUAUUUUCUCUCUCUUCGCUAAAAUUUUAUAAUUUAUUUUUAUUGAUGUUAGGCCAUGAGAAUAUUUAUUCAUUUAAUAUGUCGUGUAAUACUCUAUAAUAAUAAUGUGUAAUGUUAAUUUUUAUUAUAAAAUUUUUUGAAAUUAUUUAAUAACUAUGAUUAUCAUUACACAUUAUACAAAGUUAAAAUUUGUAAUUGAUGAGGUUUAUCUUUAAUUUAUUUUUAAAAUAUAUUUUGUAUUUAAUUAUAAUUUAUCUAAUAUUUAUAUUUUUAUUUAAAACAUGUGGUUGAUUUCGAUGUUUGUCGUGCAUCGCACGAAUGGUCAUACUAGUGUUAUAUAAAAAGAAAAAAUUCAAGUGAGCAUUAGAGAAAAUGUAGAGCUCUACAGAGUGACAUUGGCAUAUCUUGGUUUGGUUUAUAUAGCCAAUUUUUAGAGUGAAUAUGAAUUUCAGUUUAGGCUGAAAUCCUAGAGCCCAAGUCUGCAUUCAACCCUCAAUGAUGGCUAAUUAAUGAGAAAUAUCUGCAAAUCUGCCUCGAGCCACAAAACACAUGGAAUGAAGAUAAAUAGCCAAUAUUUGUAGGGCUGGUAAACCGGUCGGUUCGGUUUUGGUUCGGUUAAAACCGAACCGGUUAACCGGAACCGGAUAAGGCUCAAUCGCCUUAUCCAAAAGAUUCCAAAAGAUUCGAAUUUAAUAAAUUUGUAAGUAGUGGGAUUUGAACCUUGCCCUUUCAAAGAAAGAAUGAGGUCCUAUCCACUCCACCAACUAAUAUUUUAUGUUUAUUUAGAACAAAAAUAUAUUUUAUACAAACUUGUAAUGUUAUAUUUUUUUUAAAAAAAGAACAACUCUAAUUCUAAUAAACAAAUUCCCAACCUAAGCAUCAAUUUAACCACAAUUAAAGUAAACAAGAACACACAUUGAAACAGUUUGCUUUUAGAUCAAAUUGGUAUAAGUUAAGAUUAGGGAAAUUUUUGUUCAAACAUAUCUAACAAAAUUAAAAUACUCUUUCAAUCAAUUUUUACAUAUCGAAACCAAAAUUUAUCAAAGCUAUAACAACAACUAUUCCACAAAAUUAUUUACAGCAACUCUCUAUAAAAUUAAAAUACACCAGCAACUAUCAAGCCAUUAUUUACAUCUAACAUAACUAUUUACACCAGCAACUAUUUUACAAAAUUAAAAUACUCUUUCAAAGUCGCACUCUAUCACAAUUCACAGCAACUUUUUACAGCAGCUAUGCACACAAAAAUUUAUACCAAUCAGCAGCUAUUUUCACAAAAUCUAGUAAUUUACAACAACUAUUUAUAGGCUACAGCAGCUAACUGAUUUGCUUGAUGAGCUAUUGACACAAAAUUUACCAUUACAACAGCUAUUUACACAAAACUAUGAGCAAUUGAGCACCCAAACUCCAAUCAGCAUUUAGCAGACAACAGUAGUAUAUCAUCUCCAACACCAAGUCACCACCUCCAAAAACCAAAUUGGACGAUGCCUAAAAAAGAAAGAAAAUAAGAGAUUGUUAUUCGUUAAUACCUGAAUGCACAGCAGCGACGCCGGCAGAGGGGGCGACGCUGCUCGCUGGCGGAGGGAGCGACGCCGGCAGAAUGAGUUAUAGCCGAGAAGAAGAAGAACAAGGCGGAGGGAGUGGCGCCGGCGGAGUGUGGUGAACGAGGUGACGACAGCUGGGGUGGCGGGCGGCGGUCGGUGAUGGCAAAUGCAGCGGGCCAGCGGCGGACUUGGGACUGGGAGAGCGUCGGCGACUCGGCGGAGUGCAGGCUGACUGGCUGAGCACCGGGGGGAGGUAGCGGCGCCGGUGCCGGUGGGAGGCAAGGGAGGCGCCGGUGGGAACGGGAAGCAAGCAAGGGGAGGCGGAAGUGAGACAGACUCAAUUUCAAAGUCUCAAACCCUAACUAUUUGUGGGGUUUUUUAAAUUUUAAUACUCCCUCCGUCCACGAAUUAAAGCCCUACUUGCACUUAAAAUUUUGUCCACCAAUUAAAGCCCUAUUGUGCUUUAUGUACCUUUUUACUCUUCUUCUUUUCCUAUAUUUACUACCCUUUGCCACUAAUGGACCCACCUUACAACAACUUUAUCAUUUUUAUAUUCUAUAUUUAUUACACUUUAUCACUAGUGGACCCACCACAUAACAC